GAUGAAGAACGCAGCGAAAUGCGAUAAGUAAUGUGAAUUGCAGAACUCAGUGAAUCAUCGAAUCUUUGAACGCACAUUGCGCCCCUUGGUAUUCCAUGGGGCAUGCCUGUUCGAGCGUCAUUUGUACCUUCAAGCUUUGCUUGGUGUUGGGUGUUUGUCUCGCCUUUGCGUGUAGACUCGCCUUAAAAUAAUUGGCAGCCGGCGUAUUGAUUUCGGAGCGCAGUACAUCUCGCGCUUUGCACUCAUAACGACAGCGUCCAAAAGUACAUUUUACACUCUUGACCUCGGAUCAGGUAGGGAUACCCGCUGAACUUAAGCAUAUCAAUAAGCGGAGGA
rnacentral:misc_RNA from 1 species